rnacentral:rRNA from 1 species
CAAUAGCGUAUAUUAAAGUUGUUGCAGUUAAAAAGCUCGUAGUUGGAUUUGUGGCGUACGGUGUGUUCCGGGCACUUGUUGUCUGAGUAACCUGCUGUUGCCAUCCUUGGGUGGAACCUGUGUGGCAUUAGGUUGUCGUGCAGGGGAUGCCCAUCAUUUACUGUGAAAAAAUUAGAGUGUUCAAAGCAGGCUUAUGCCGUUGAAUAUAUUAGCAUGGAAUAAUGAGAUAGGACUUUUUUGCUAUUUUGUUGGUUUGCGCAAUGAGGUAAUGAUUAAUAGGGACAGUUGGGGGUAUUCGUAUUCCAUUGUCAGAGGUGAAAUUCUUGGAUUUUUGGAAGACGAACUACUGCGAAAGCAUUUACCAAGGAUGUUUUCAUUAA